UCCAUUAUUGCCGCCAUUCCAACGAUGGUGGCUUAGCAGCAGUGUGAUUGCCAAAGCCGCCUGAGGGGCGGCUUUG
rnacentral:sRNA from 1 species